UACGGAGGGUGCAAGCGUUAUCCGGAUUCACUGGGUUUAAAGGGUGCGUAGGUGGGUUGGUAAGUCCGUGGUGAAAUCCCCAGGCUUAACCUGGGAACUGCAUUCGAGACUGCAUUGCUAGAGUAUGGGAGAGGGAAGUGGAAUUUCCGGUGUAGCGGUGAAAUGCGUAGAUAUCGGAAGGAACAUCAGUGGCGAAAGCGACUUCCUGGACCAAUACUGACGCUCAUGUGCGAAAGCGUGGGGAGCAAACAGG
rnacentral:rRNA from 1 species